rnacentral:rRNA from 1 species
CUCGGUAAUUCUAUAGCUAAGGACACACCUCUUCCCAUUCCGAACAGAGAAGUUAAGCUUAGUUUAGUCGAUGGUACUGCAGGGUUCCUCUGUGGGAGAGUAGAUUAUUGCCGGGC